rnacentral:rRNA from 1 species
GAUGAACGCUGGCGGCGUGCCUAAGACAUGCAAGUCGAGCGAACAGACGAUGAGCUUGCGCCACGGACGUUAGCGGCGGACGGGUGAGUAACACGCGGAUAACCUACCUAUAAGACGGGGAUAAGUUCGGGAAACCAGAGCUGAUACCGAAUGACAACUGGAAGCGCAGGGUGCAACAGUGAAAGGCGGUCUAGCUGACACUUAUAGAUGGAUCCGCGCCGCCUUAGCUAGUUGGUAGGGUAACGGCUUACCAAGGCAACGAUGCGUAGCCGACCUGAAAGGGUGACCGCACACGCUGGACCUGAGAUCCGGUCCAGACUCCUCCGGGAGGCAGCGCUACGGAUUCUUCCGCUGUGGGCGAACGCCUCACGGAAAAGCGCCGCGUGGCUGCAGACGGUCUUGUGAUCGUAAAACUCUGUUAUUCGGGAACGACAAAUGUGUAAGUAACUAUGCACGUCUUGACGGUACCUAAUCAGACAGCCACGGCUAACUACGUG